UACGUAGGGGGCAAGCGUUGUCCGGAAUUAUUGGGCGUAAAGCGCGCGCAGGCGGUUUUUUAAGUCUGAUGUAUAAGUUCAAGGCUCAACCUUGGGAUGCAUUGGAAACUGGGGGACUGGAGUGUAGGAGAGGAAAGUGGAAUUCCACGUGUAGCGGUGAAAUGCGUAGAGAUGUGGAGGAACACCAGUGGCGAAGGCGGCUUACUGGUCCGGUUCUGACGCUGAGGCGCGAAAGCGUGGGGAGCAAACAGG
rnacentral:rRNA from 1 species